AUGGCUCGGGCUGGCCAGGACUGUGGUUUUCCACACCCACGGGCAGGCCCCAAGGUCAGCAGUCAGUCCAGUCAAGCCGUCUCCUCUGCCAGGUAUCUGAACAGCAUUGGCAGCUACGCAGCGCUGGUGGCCUUGGCAGAGAAGCAGCACCAGGCCCUCAGCUACCUUGAGCGGGAGCUGAGGGGCAUCCGGUACCUGCGGACCCUUCACCUGUCCUCUCACCGAGAGAGGAAGCUGCUCCUGCAGCAGCAGAAGGACAUCGUCUCCGUGCAGAGGUCCGCGGCCCUCCUGCAGCAAGAGCUUCAGGACCGGACGUGGCUGCCUCAGCCUGCUCAGCAAGCCACAGGAUGGGACACCCCCUCCAGCAGCUUCGGCUGCGGAUGGUCACCCGUGUCCUCCGACGCUGGCGUGGGACAAGGAUGCACCUGCAGUGGCCGGCCGACCUGAUGCCAGAGGCCAACCCCCGGAGAGCCACGGCCGCACGAGCCAAGGUAACCGGGUGGGGUGGCAGUGGUGGCAGCUGAGGACAGACGCCACCCCCUCAGGGGCCCUGGCAACUCAUGCCUGCUUCGGGCUUGCGGCCGGCUCAGGGUCAGACACACGUGUGUCCUGCUGGGCCUGGCUGGAGCUGUGUGCUGGGGGCGACCCGGCCUCCCUGUCCCUGAGUCUGGGCACUCAGGAGGGCUGCCCUUCCAGAUGGCGGGGGCUGGCCGGGGUGGGAGAGGCCGCGCAGACUGGCCGCUCCUCCUCCUGAUGACGCGACGACUCAGAGCAGCCAGCCGGGCUAUGGACGGUCGCCAGGCUGGUCCCCAGAACCUCAGACCUGCCCGAGGACACCCCAGGACACGCUGCCCGGCUGAGUCUAGAUGUUUGUGAUGCUGCCUCCACCAAGGGUGUGAGGAAGGCUCCUCCAGGCCGGCCCUGGGCUCAGGGCUGGGCAGGCUCUUGGAUCACUCAGGCCUCCAGGCAGGGGACCUGUGCAGACAGGGAGCUGGACGUGCCCCCAGACUGUCCCCAUCUCCCGUGCUGUACCCCGCCCCCAGCCCACAGACACCCUGGGGAGCCCCUAGAGCAGCUGGUGUGGCCCCCCCGCCUGGCAGGGUGCCCCAACCGGCUCCUCCCCAGCCCCUCUGUGCAGUGAGGGGCCUGUGGCCUGACAAAUUACCCAACAUCAGUGGCUUAAAAGGACAGAAACUUCCUGUCUCUCAGUUCUGGAAGCCACAAGCCUGAAAUCCCCCAUCUUUUCCAGUUUCGGGGGCCUCCAGGCCUCCUUUGCUGUGGCCUGUCUGCAUCUGCAAAGACCCUAGUUUCACAUAAGGGUUUGCAGGCGCUGAGAGUUAAGACUUGGACCUGCCUCUUAAAGGGACAGCCUGCCCUCCACCCCAUCCCCUAAAAAGCCCUGCUUGCUGAUUUCUCUGCACUCUCCAGGCAGCGAUGCUAAUGCAGA
rnacentral:lncRNA from 1 species